CGCGGAAAACUAAUAACCGUGCCUAAAGCUCUCGUCGCUCACGCGAGUCACGCACCUCUCUCUCUCUCUCUCUCUCUCCCGACCUCAGCUCCUCUCUCUAUCGAUUCGUCUCUCCCGACCUUAGUCGCUGACAGCGUCGGCAUCGCUUCAUCUAUCUCACUCUCUCAUCUGGUAUCAUCUCUUCUCUCGAUCUCAUGUCUCUGUCUGUCAACCUCAUCCUCUCUCUCCCUCUCUGGAGUCGACCUAACCCAGAUCACCCCUCAGUAACCUAACCCUCUCAGAGUCUCUCUUUCGACUCGUCUCUAUCGCGCUCGCUUUCUCUCACUCUUAGUCACUUCUGUAAGUCACUUAGAGUCCAGAGACUUGUUCUCCCUCUCCAAACCUAACCAAACAUCAUCCACUUUCAUUGGUUUUUGGAGAGAAUCCUUGCAAAUUGUGGAGGGCUCUGGUUCAUUGUAAGUUGUUAUGCAUAGUCUCUGCGGGUUUCAAUUAAUGGGCGAAAUUGAAGAUAAUGUGAUUUAAGGAGGCUCAAAAAAGGCAGACGUAGGCUCAUAAAGGGUGUUUUAUUUGGAGCUUCCAAGUCAUUGAUGUUAGAUACGUUCAAUUUUAAGUACAAGUUUUUUUAUUCAAUUAUUGUAUCUAAUCACUAUAUUAAGUGGAAAUGAAAUUUCAGUUUGUUAUUUAAUAUAUAUAUUUUGAAAAGGUCUGAAAUACCAUACUAUAUUAAGUGGAAA